rfam:Glycine soja cultivar W05 scaffold2692_3, whole genome shotgun sequence.
AAAUAAGCAGGGGCAAGUUGCCUGUGUGAGGAUGCCUCUCGUAACCUUCAGGGAUAUAAUAAUAAUUGUUAUUGGGUGAACCUCUGUUAUCUGUUUGUGACAGAAAGGUUCAGUAAAUGACGGAACACAA